AAGAAUCCAAGGGCAAAGCCACUGCUUCUACUAGCCAGUCUGAAAAGCCAGUAGUAGUAUUCACUUCUUCUUAGCUUCCCACUACCAUACCAGAGCUUGCCUCCGGACCAUCUACUUCCACCUCUCCAGAUAUUCCAUCCUCCUUAGCAUACCCAUUGAAUGCCCACAGAUUGAGCCAAACACUCUCCAAAAUCAACAACUGGAUGCAGGCAGCAACUUUUUUAGCUGUCUGUGCUAUCUAGUUCAGCGGCAGCCCAGUCACUGCCCCCAUAGCCACAAGUACCAGCAUCCAUAGAGGAUAUUCUCAUAGAGCUUUUGGACAACCAGAAGAAGCUCCUUGAUAACCAACAGGUGAUAAUGGAUGCUCUUGCUGAACAAGGGAAAACACUUAAGGAGC
rnacentral:lncRNA from 1 species